UGUGUACGUUGUUUUGUCAUCAAGAGUGGAAGCUCCCCCCUCCCGACCCCCCACAAAAUGAACUUGCAAGUGCAGGAAGUGUUCCACAAGGGGCAAGUUUUUCAAUAUCACCACAAGGGUCUCUGGCCCGGUGACUGGAGUUGGAUAACAAUCCUUGCUACAAGU